UGGCUCAGAGCGAACGCUGGCGGCAGGCUUAACACAUGCAAGUCGAGCGGACCCUUCGGGGUCAGCGGCGGACGGGUGAGUAACGCGUGGGAACGUGCCUUCUGGUUCGGAAUAACCCUGGGAAACUAGGGCUAAUACCGGAUACGCCCUUAUGGGGAAAGGUUUACUGCCGGAAGAUCGGCCCGCGUCUGAUUAGCUAGUUGGUGGGGUAACGGCCUACCAAGGCGACGAUCAGUAGCUGGUCUGAGAGGAUGAUCAGCCACACUGGGACUGAGACACGGCCCAGACUCCUACGGGAGGCAGCAGUGGGGAAUAUUGGACAAUGGGCGCAAGCCUGAUCCAGCCAUGCCGCGUGAGUGAUGAAGGCCUUAGGGUUGUAAAGCUCUUUUAUCCGGGACGAUAAUGACGGUACCGGAGGAAUAAGCCCCGGCUAACUUCGUGCCAGCAGCCGCGGUAAUACGAAGGGGGCUAGCGUUGCUCGGAAUCACUGGGCGUAAAGGGCGCGUAGGCGGCGUUUUAAGUCGGGGGUGAAAGCCUGUGGCUCAACCACAGAAUGGCCUUCGAUACUGGGACGCUUGAGUAUGGUAGAGGUUGGUGGAACUGCGAGUGUAGAGGUGAAAUUCGUAGAUAUUCGCAAGAACACCGGUGGCGAAGGCGGCCAACUGGACCAUCAC
rnacentral:rRNA from 1 species